GGUCGGUUAGCUCAGUUGGUUAGAGCGUCGUACUAAUAUAUCGCAAGAUAUACUAAGUAAUGCGAAGGUCAUGGGUUCGACCCCCAUACUGACCA